rnacentral:misc_RNA from 1 species
AGGAUUGGUUCAACGGUUAGCUUGGAACAACUCAUUCAACCAGCUAUCGUACCUCCUCCUCCCAUUUCAUGGUAUCUUAGAGGAAUAACUGCAAAAACAACUGAGAUGAUUAUAAUAGACUUGGUUGCUGAAGCAGCUAGAAUACGAGGAUCUUCCAGUAACGAUGGUUCCCGGGGUUUGAAGGUAAACGAAGAAUCCUCCAUUGAAUCUCAAG